UGCCCAGCAACUCCUAUCCCUACCUCCUCGCGGUACCGGCCGGAAACUAUGAGCAACUUAGGGAAGAUCGGGUUACCAGCCCCGGUGGGAACUUUGGUCGUAGGCUGACAGGGAAGG
rnacentral:ribozyme from 1 species